ensembl:snRNA RNU6-1044P RNA, U6 small nuclear 1044, pseudogene
GUGCUCACUACAGCAGCACAUAUACUAAAAUUGGAAGAAUACAGAGAAAAUGAGCAUGGUCCCUAUGCAAGGAUGGCAGGUAGAUUUGUGAACCAUUACAUGUUAAA